AUUGAACGCUGGCGGCAGGCCUAACACAUGCAAGUCGAACGGUAACAGGAAGAAGCUUGCUUCUUUGCUGACGAGUGGCGGACGGGUGAGUAAUGUCUGGGAAACUGCCUGAUGGAGGGGGAUAACUACUGGAAACGGUAGCUAAUACCGCAUAACGUCGCAAGACCAAAGAGGGGGACCUUCGGGCCUCUUGCCAUCGGAUGUGCCCAGAUGGGAUUAGCUAGUAGGUGGGGUAACGGCUCACCUAGGCGACGAUCCCUAGCUGGUCUGAGAGGAUGACCAGCCACACUGGAACUGAGACACGGUCCAGACUCCUACGGGAGGCAGCAGUGGGGAAUAGUGCACAAUGGGCGCAAGCCUGAUGCAGCCAUGCCGCGUGUAUGAAGAAGGCCUUCGGGUUGUAAAGUACUUUCAGCGGGGAGGAAGGGAGUAAAGUUAAUACCUUUACUCAUUGACGUUACCCGCAGAAGAAGCACCGGCUAACUCCG
rnacentral:rRNA from 1 species